rnacentral:sRNA from 1 species
ACUCAACAAGAAUUAAUUAAAAAGGGUGAGUUUAAGUUGUAAAAGCAAGCCUCCUUAGAGGGGAUCCUUGAUCAGCUUGUUAGCCCUAAACCUGUUUUUACAGAGUUU